AGAGUUUGAUCCUGGCUCAGGGUUAACGCUGGCGGCGCGCAUAACACAUGCAAGUCGAGCGAGGGCUCUUUUCCCGCAAGGGAGGGGAGUUCCUAGCGGCGAACGGGUGAGUAACACGUGAGCAACCUGUCCCGUAGCGGGGGACAACCUCGGGAAACCGGGGCUAAUACCGCAUGUCAUCGCCGGGGACAUCCCUGGUGAGAAAAGCAGCAAUGCACUACGGGGUGGGCUCGCGGCCUAUCAGCUUGUAGGUGGGGUAACGGCCUACCUAGGCUUUGACGGGUAGCUGGUCUGAGAGGACGACCAGCCACACGGGGACUGAGACACGGCCCCGACUCCUACGGGAGGCAGCAGUGAGGAAUCUUCCGCAAUGGGCGAAAGCCUGACGGAGCGACGCCGCGUGUGGGAUGAAGUCCCUCGGGAUGUAAACCACUGUUCUAGAGGGAAGAGAACGGACGGUACCUCUAGAGAAAGCCCCGGCUAACUACGUGCCAGCAGCCGCGGUAAUACGUAGGGGGCAAGCGUUACCCGGAUUUACUGGGCGUAAAGCGCGUGUAGGCGGCUGGCCAAGCGUGGUGUGAAAUCUCCGGGCUCAACCCGGAAACUGCACUGCGAACUGGUCUGGCUGGAGUGCAGGAGAGGGAUGCGGAAUUCCCGGUGUAGCGGUGAAAUGCGUAGAUAUCGGGAGGAACACCAGUGGCGAAGGCGGCAUCCUGGCCUGUAACUGACGCUGAGACGCGAAAGCGUGGGGAGCGAACCGGAUUAGAUACCCGGGUAGUCCACGCCCUAAACGUUGCGAACUAGGUGUUGGUGGGAUUGACCCCAUCAGUGCCGCAGCUAACGCAUUAAGUC
rnacentral:rRNA from 1 species